GAAUGAAUGGAUGAAUAAAUAGGUGAUAACUGGAUGGUUGAAUGGAGGGACAGCUAGAUGGAAUGGAAGGAUAGAUGCAUGGGGGUAUGGAUAAUAAGAGAAGAAUGGGCAGAUAUGAUCAUGGGUAGGUGCAUGGAUGGAUGGAUAAAAAGAGAAGAAAAUGGAUGGAUGAAGAGAUGAUUAAAUAAGUGAUGGGGAUGAAUAAAUAGGUGAUAAAAGGCUUGCUGGAAUGGAUGGCUGGAUUGAUGGAUGAAUUAAUAGGGGAUGGAUGGAUGGAUGGAUGGAUGAAUUAAUAGGGGAUGUAUGGAUGAAUUAAUAGGUGAUAGAUGUCUGGCUGGAUGAGGGAUAAAUAAAUAGGGGAUGGAUGGAUGAAUUAAUAGGGGAUGGAUGAAUGAAUGAAUGGAUGGAUGAAUAAAUUGGUGAUAGAUGACUGGCUGGAUGGAGGGAUAAAUAAGUAGGUGAUGGAUGGAUGGAUGGAUGGACGGAUGAAUAAAUAGAUGAUGGCUGUAAGGAUGAAUGGAUGCAUGGACAGAUGGAUAAACAGAUGAGGAGAAAAAUGGA
ensembl:lncRNA